rnacentral:rRNA from 1 species
UACGUAGGGUGCAAGCGUUAAUCGGAAUUACUGGGCGUAAAGCGUGCGCAGGCGGUUUUGUAAGUCUGUCGUGAAAUCCCCGGGCUCAACCUGGGAACUGCGUUUGAAACUACAAGGCUAGAGUUUGGCAGAGGGGGGUAGAAUUCCACGUGUAGCAGUGAAAUGCGUAGAUAUGUGGAGGAACACCGAUGGCGAAGGCAGCCCCCUGGGUCAAAACUGACGCUCAUGCACGAAAGCGUGGGGAGCAAACAGG